CCACCACCUUGCCAGUCUAAAAUCGCCACCUGCAUUGAGGAGCAUGCCUCUGGGCCACCUGCCUUCAGUCCCCAGCAUAACCCUGCCAGAGAGAAAGGCAUGAUUUACUUUUUCACUUAAAAUAUAAAACAAGGAACUCAGCAAAUGAUGAUUACCACAGAGACCCACAACUGGCCGGCGCAAAGAGUAAGAGACGACAGACUGAAUACAACACCUAUAUCAAACCAGGGCUCAGAGACCAUUGUGGAAGAAGGGGUGUAAAGAUCUUAAGAACCUGAGGAGGUGGAUGACCACAAGAAAAAGAGUUUUCCAGGCAGCUGGGCAACUAUUCAUAUGACCUGGCAACAUGCACAUAGACCCAUGUUAGUUCAAGCCAGACAAAAUCCCAGCAUAGCCAUGGGAAAGUGAGUAAGAAAUCCCAACCCUACCGGAGGAACUAUUGGCAGCUGAUGGCUGCUGGAAGCAGGAGAGUCGGUGUCAUUCAAGGCUGAAACUCCUGGGGAAACAACUGCAGACACAAAGAAGAUGCUCAUGAGUUCAGAAGCCUCCACAACCGGCAUCGUGACCCCAGGUGCAACCUGUAAGUCAUGCACUAUUGGCUGAACAAUUACUGAGUUCCUAGUCACCAGAGCAACUGUCCUCUUUGGGGGCAGAGCCUCAUCCAAACAAACCCCUGCCCUCCUUGAACUUACAGUGUAACAGACACUAAAAAAGAAUAAAUGAUAAAUCAGCUGGUUA